rnacentral:rRNA from 1 species
GGCUUAACACAUGCAAGUCGAGCGGAACAGCUUCGGCUGUUUAGCGGCAGACGGGUGAGUAACACGUAUCCAACCUUUCCCUUACUCGGGUAUAGCCUCGGGAAACUGAGAGUAAUCCCCGAUGUUGUGUACGAAUAGCAUUUUUUGCACACUAAAGAUUUAUCGGUAAGGGGUGGGGAUGCGUUCCAUUAGGUAGUAGGCGGGGCAACGGCCCACCUAGCCGAUGAUGGAUAGGGGUUCUGAGAGGAAGGUCCCCCACAUUGGAACUGCGACACGGUCCAAACUCCUACGGGAGGCAGCAGUGAGGAAUAUUGGUCAAUGGUCGGAAGACUGAACCAGCCAAGUAGCGUGCAGGAUGACGGCCCUAUGGGUUGUAAACUGCUUUUGUGCGGGAAUAACGUACGCCACGUGUGGUGUAGUGCAUGUACCGUACGAAUAAGGAUCGGCUAACUCCGUGCCAGCAGCCGCGGUAAUACGGAGGAUCCGAGCGUUAUCCGGAUUUAUUGGGUUUAAAGGGAGCGUAGGCGGAGGAUCAAGUCAGCUGUGAAAUGUAGACGCUCAACGUCUGCACUGCAGUUGAAACUGGUUCCCUUGAGUGCGUAAGGGGCAGGCGGAAUUCGUCGUGUAGCGGUGAAAUGCUUAGAUAUGACGAAGAACUCCGAUCGCGAAGGCAGCUUGCCGGGCCGCAACUGACGCUGAAGCUCGAAGGUGCGGGUAUCGAACAGGAUUAGAUACCCUGGUAGUCCGCACAGUAAACGAUGGAUACUCGCUGUCGGCGAUAUACGGUCGGUGGCCAAGCGAAAGCGUUAAGUAUCCCACCUGGGGAGUACGCCGGCAACGGUGAAACUCAAAGGAAUUGACGGGGGCCCGCACAAGCGGAGGAACAUGUGGUUUAAUUCGAUGAUACGCGAGGAACCUUACCCGGGCUUGAAUUGCUGGUGACGGUUACUGGAGACAGUUUCCUUCCUUCGGGACGCCAGUGAAGGUGCUGCAUGGUUGUCGUCAGCUCGUGCCGUAAGGUGUCGGCUCAGUGCAUACGAGCCGCAACCCUUGCCGUUAGUUGCCAUCAGGUCACGCUGGGCACUUUAUGGGACUGCAUCGUAGGAUGGUGAGGAGUUGGGGAUGACGUCAAUCAGCACGGCUUUAGUUCGGGGCUAUCACCACCUGUGUACUAUUG